UACGUAGGGACCAAGCGUUGUUCGGAUUUACUGGGCGUAAAGGGCGCGUAGGCGGUAGCACAAGUCAGUUGUGAAAUCUCCGGGCUUAACUCGGAAAGGUCAACUGAUACUGUGCGACUAGAGUGCAGAAGGGGCAACUGGAAUUCUCGGUGUAGCGGUGAAAUGCGUAGAUAUCGAGAGGAACACCUGCGGCGAAGGCGGGUUGCUGGGCUGACACUGACGCUGAGGCGCGAAAGCCAGGGGAGCGAAACGGG
rnacentral:rRNA from 1 species